rnacentral:rRNA from 1 species
GUAGUUAGCCGGGGCUUCCUCCUUGACUACCGUCACUUUCUUCGUUGCCAAGGACAGAGGUUUACAACCCGAAAGCCUUCUUCCCUCACGCGGCGUUGCUGGGUCAGGCUUGCGCCCAUUGCCCAAUAUUCCCCACUGCUGCCUCCCGCAGGAGUCUGGACCGUAUCUCAGUUCCAGUGUGGCCGAUCAGCCUCUCAGCUCGGCUACCCAUCGUCGACUUGGUGGGCUGUUACUCCGCCAACUAUCUAAUGGGACGCGAACCCCUCUUAUACCGGAUUGCUCCUUUGACCUCAUCCCGAUGCCGGGUCGUGGUCUUAUGCGGUAUUAGCAACCGUUUCCGGUUGUUAUCCCCCUGUACAAGGCAGGUUGUUCACGCGUUACUCACCCGUUCGCCACUAAAAUUUAUCUUCCAUCCGAAAACUUCUGAUAAAUCUCCGUUCGACUUGCAUGUGUUAGGCACGCCGCCAGCGUUCGUCCUGAGCCAUGAUCAAACUCUGA